rnacentral:rRNA from 1 species
AGCGAACGCUGGCGGCAUGCCUAACACAUGCAAGUCGAACGAAACCUUCGGGGUUAGUGGCGGACGGGUGAGUAACGCGUGGGAACGUGCCUUUAGGUUCGGAAUAACUCAGGGAAACUGGUGCUAAUACCGAAUGAUGUCUUCGGGGGAAAGAUUUAUCGCCUUUGGAUGGGCCCGCGUUUGAUUAGCUAGUUGGUGGGGUAAAUGGCUAACAAGGGGACGGUCCAUAGCCUGGCUGGGAGGGUGGUCAGGCACAAUUGGACUGGGGCACGGCCCAAACUCCUGCGGGAAGGAAGAAGUGGGGAUCAUGCGCAAUGGGGCGAAGCCUGACGCCAGCAAGGCGGGGUGAGUGAUGAAGGCUUAAGAGUUGAAAAGUCUUUCUACGCGGGCUAUUAUGACGAGACCCGGAAGAAUAAGCCCGGCUUACUUCGGU